CCGAGUUUUCAACUCCCAAACCCCCUGUGAACCUUACCAUUUCCGUUGCUUCGGCGGGAUCGUCCCGGGCGCGGCCGCGAGGCCCAGCCCCGGAUCCAGGCGCCCGCCGGAGGACCGCAAACUCUUCUGUUUUUUUACGUUUCCAUCUGAGUGGCUGUAAAGCAAAAACAAAUGAAUCA
rnacentral:misc_RNA from 1 species